UAAACAUAGACAGUUCAUACACCCCACUGUCCGCCCGGGAACUACGAGCGUUAGCUUAAAACCCAAAGGACUUGGCGGUGCUUUAUACCCACCUAGAGGAGCCUGUUCUAGAACCGAUAAUCCCCGUUCAACCUCACCCUUCCUUGUUCUUUCCGCCUAUAUACCGCCGUCGUCAGUUUACCCUGUGAAGGCCUAAUAGUAAGCAAAAUCGGCACAGCCCAAAACGUCAGGUCGAGGUGUAGCGUAUGGAAGGGGAAGAAAUGGGCUACAUUCCCUGUUACAGGGCAUACGAAUGAUUUUGCUGAAAUGCAUAUCUGAAGGAGGAUUUAGCAGUAAGCAGAAAGUAGAGAGUUCUGCUGAAGCCGGC
rnacentral:rRNA from 1 species